rnacentral:rRNA from 1 species
UACGAAGGGGGCUAGCGUUGCUCGGAAUUACUGGGCGUAAAGGGCGCGUAGGCGGCCUUCUAAGUCAGACGUGAAAUCCCUCGGCUCAACCCGGGAACUGCGUCCGAUACUGGAAGGCUUGAAUCCGGGAGAGGGAUGUGGAAUUCCAGGUGUAGCGGUGAAAUGCGUAGAUAUCUGGAGGAACACCGGUGGCGAAGGCGACAUCCUGGACCGGUAUUGACGCUGAGGCGCGAAAGCCAGGGGAGCAAACGGG